rnacentral:rRNA from 1 species
UACGUAGGGGGCUAGCGUUGUCCGGAAUCAUUGGGCGUAAAGAGCGCGUAGGCGGCUAGAUAAGUCCGGUGUGAAAGUCACAGGCUCAACCUGUGAAUGCCGCUGGAAACUGUCUGGCUAGAGUCCGGAAGGGGCGAGUGGAAUUCCUGGUGUAGCGGUGAAAUGCGCAGAUAUCAGGAGGAACACCAGUGGCGAAGGCGAUCUUCUGGACCAUUUCUGACGCUCAGACGCGACAGCUAGGGUAGCAAACGGG